UCGCAACGUGGACUGAGAUUGAGAGU
rnacentral:sRNA from 1 species